ensembl:lncRNA
UCUCCGCCCUGCUCACUCUCCUCAGACCACACUGGUCUCCUUCCAGUUCCCAUUUUCGAGGGCUGCCUUGACCUCAGGAUCUUUGCUCUUCCUCCUCACUUUUCCCUUAAUACUUUUCCCCCAAAUACUCACAUGGCUUGCUCCUUCAUUUCCUUAAGUCUCUGCUCAAAUGUCCCUUCUCAGUGAGGCCUUCCCUGACCACUCCAUUUAAAAUUGCAGUGACCUGACCUCCACACCUGCUCUGGCAUCCCCACCACAUCCUGCUUCCCUGCUUAAUAUUUUUCAUAGCACUUACCCCUCCUAGUCUGUGAUAUAAUUUAUUUAUUUAUUUUGUUCAUUGUCUGUCCUCUCCCACUACCACCAUCACCACCACUAUAACGGUAAAUUCUGUAAGUCAGGAAGUUUUGUCUGUAUUAGUCAUUGAUGCUCAGCACCUAAAAGAGUAUCAGGCACAGUCAGCCUCGGACUGCAGCCUGCAAGGCUCUUCUGUCCAUGGGAUUCUCCAAGCAAGAACAUUGGAGUAGGUUACCAUGCCCUCCUCCAGGGGAUCUUCCUGACCCAGGGGUCGAACCUGCAUCUCUAAAGUCUCCUGCGUUGCUGCUUGUGCUGUUCUUCAGAGGCUGCUGCUGCUGCUGCUAAGUCACUUCAGUCGUGUCCGAUUCUGUGCAACCCCAUAGACAGCAGCCAACCAGGCUCCCCCGUCCCUGGGAUUCUCCAGGAUUCCCUGAUACCUCAGCUGGUAAAGAAUGCACCCGCCAUGCGGGAGACCCUGGUUGGAUCUCUGGGUUGGGAAGAUCCCCCAGAGAAGGGAAUGGCUACCCACUGCAGGAUUGGCCUGGAGAAUCCCAUGGACUCUAAAAGUCCACGGGGUCACAGAGAGUCAGACACAAACCAGGAACAGAAUGGAUGGCUGGUUUCUGGUCUACAAUAUCUGGAGCAUCAGCUGGAAAAUUCAAAGACUGGAACCAUCUGAGAGAUCAUCCACUCUCACCGUAUGACAGUGGCUGAUGCUGGCUCAUGGCUGGGGGCUGGCUGGGGCUGUCAGCCAGGAUAUCUGCACUGGACCUCUCUAUGUGGGCUGGGUUUCCUUACAAUGUGGUGACUGAGUUCUAAGGACAAGUAUCUAAAGAGAGAGGAGAAAGAGAUGGAGGUUGUAUCUUCUGCGUGGGCUGGGCUUCAAAGUCAUAUGCUUAGUGAUGGUCUGCCAGACUCCAAUGCUUUGGGCAGCCACAAGUCCCUGUUGAGGUUCAGGUUCAUAAGCUUGAGACAGAGAUCUUAUCUCAUAUAGGAGGUUGUAUGUAGGAUGGGAAGACAUGCAUGUAGGAUGGGAAAAAUGUAUAAAUAGAGCCAUCUUUGGAAGAUACAAUCUGCUACACUGUGAUUCUAGAAAGGCCUCCCAUCCAAGUACUAACCAGGCUGAACCCUGCUUAGCUUCUGAGAUCAGACGAGAUAGGACGCGUUCAGGGUGGUAUGGCCAUAGAUUAGAAAGGUAUUGGAGAUUCAUCUUGUAGUUGCUACAUUAUUU